rnacentral:rRNA from 1 species
UCAUGCCUACGGGACGCAGCAGUGAGGAAUAUUGGUCAAUGGGCGCGAGCCUGAACCAGCCAAGUCGCGUGAGGGAUGACGGCCCUACGGGUUGUAAACCUCUUUUGCCGGGGAGCAACGGGCGCCACGUGUGGCGCCACUGAGAGUACCCGGAGAAAAAGCAUCGGCUAACUCCGUGCCAGCAGCCGCGGUAAUACGGAGGAUGCGAGCGUUAUCCGGAUUUAUUGGGUUUAAAGGGUGCGCAGGCGGUCUGUUAAGUCAGCGGUCAAAGCCCGGGGCUCAACCCCGGCCCGCCGUUGAAACUG